UGGGGGAUCGUCUAGUGGUAGGACAGCAGACUCUGGAUCUGCUUACCGAGGUUCGAAUCCUUGUCCCCCAGCCA
rnacentral:tRNA from 1 species